CGCCGGGCCGGGCCGGGCCGCGUGAGGCGGCGGCGGCGGCGGCACCGCCCGCGGGAGAGCUGAGAACAUUAAAUUCCAGUUCAGAUGAAUAGUGGCUGCGUGAACAGGAGCUCUGAGAGACAUCCCAAGUGUGAGCUGGAAUUUCCCAUGCCUGGAGCAGCUAAGGAAUGACCUCGAUCAGGAUGAAGCCGACCUGGAGGUUGGAGAGGUACCUGGUCUCAGAGUUGAUAAAAUGGUACCUAGAGCUGCUGGUUUAUCCUGUCAGCAGCUGCCUUGUCUCCAUCGCCUUUGGUGCCCUCGGCAUCAGUGAGCUCCCACUUGCCAUAGGAAGCGUAGCCCGCUCCCCCGCUCGUCUCACCGCC